UCGGGAAUAUUGCGCAAUGGAGGAAACUCUGACGCAGUGACGCCGCGUAUAGGAAGAAGGUUUUCGGAUUGUAAACUAUUGUCGUUAGGGAAGAUACAAGACAGUACCUAAGGAGGAAGCCCCGGCUAACUAUGUGCCAGCAGCCGCGGUAAUACAUAGGGGCAGCGUAUCGAUUAUUGGUGUAAAGGGUGCGUAGAUGGAGGAGCAAGUUGGUUGUGAAAUCCCUCGGCUCAACUGAGGAACUGCAACCAAAACUACUUUUCUUGAGUGCAGGAGAGGUAAGUGGAAUUCCUAGUGUAGCGGUGAAAUGCGUAGAUAUUAGGAGGAACACCAGUGGCGAAGGCGACUUACUGGACUGUAACUGACGUUGAGGCACGAAAGUGUGGGGAGCAAACAGGAUUAGAUACC
rnacentral:rRNA from 1 species